UGAGUACGAGAUGCUACGGCAUCGAAGCAGUCUAUGUCAUACUUCCAAGAAAAGCUUGCAAUGUCAUAAACAAAUAAUGCCUGUACCAUAACCGACACAGUGGGUAGGUAGAGUAUACUAAGGGGCGCGAGAUAACUCUCUCUAAGGAACUCGGCAAAAUGACUCCGUAACUUCGGGAGAAGGAGUGCCUUAUUUUUAUAAGGUUGCAAUAACAAGAUCCAAGCAACUGUUUACCAAAAACACAGGUCUCCGCUAAGUCGUAAGACGAUGUAUGGGGGCUGACGCCUGCCCAGUGCCAGAAGGUUAAAGAAGUUGGUUAGCAUUAGCGAAGCUGAUAACUGAAGCCCUGGUGAACGGCGGCCGUAACUAUAACGGUCCUAAGGUAGCGAAAUUCCUUGUCGGGUAAGUUCCGACCCGCACGAAAGGCGUAAUGAUUUGGAUACUGUCUCGGAGAGGGGCUCGGUGAAAUAGACUUGUCUGUGAAGAUGCGGACUACCUGCACCUGGACAGAAAGACCCUAUGAAGCUUUACUGUAACUUGAGAUUGAAAUUGGACUUUAUCUGCGCAGUAUAGGUGGGAGACGUUGAAAAUAUUCUUGCGGGAAUAUUGGAGUCAUCAGUGAGAUACCACUCUUAUAAUGUUAGAUUUCUAACUUUGUAUCAUUAUCUGGUCAAAGAACAGUUUCAGGCGGGCAGUUUGACUGGGGCGGUCGCCUCCCAAACGGUAACGGAGGCGCACAAAGGUUUCCUCUGAACGUGUAGAAAUCGUAUCUAGAGUGUAAAGGCAUAAGGAAGCUUGACUGUGAGACCUACAAGUCGAGCAGGGACGAAAGUCGGUCUUAGUGAUCUGACGGUGCUGAGUGGAAAGGCCGUCACUCAACGGAUAAAAGUUACUCUAGGAUAACAGGCUGAUCUCCCCCAAGAGUUCACAUCGACGGGGAGGUUUGGCACCUCGAUGUCGGCUCAUCGCAUCCUGGGGCGGUAGUACGUCCCAAGGGUUGGGCUGUUCGCCCAUGAAAGCGGUACGCGAGCUGGGUUCAGAACGUCGUGAGACAGUUCGGUCCAUAUCCGGUGUAGGCGUUAGAAUAUUGAGAGGAGCCUUCUUUAGUACGAGAGGACCGAGAAGGACAUACCUCUGGUGUACCAGUUAUCGUGCCAACGGUAAACGCUGGGUAGCCAUGUAUGGAGAGGAUAACCGCUGAAAGCAUCUAAGUGGGAAGCCCACCUCAAGAUAAG
rnacentral:rRNA from 1 species